AACGAACGCUGGCGGCAUGCCUAACACAUGCAAGUCGAACGAGACCUUCGGGUCUAGUGGCGCACGGGUGCGUAACGCGUGGGAACCUGCCCUUAGGUUCGGAAUAACUCCCCGAAAGGGGUGCUAAUACCGGAUAAUGUCUUCGGACCAAAGAUUUAUCGCCUUUGGAUGGGCCCGCGUUGGAUUAGCUAGUUGGUAGGUUAAAAGCCUACCAAGGCGACGAUCCAUAGCUGGUCUGAGAGGAUGAUCAGCCACACUGGGACUGAGACACGGCCCAGACUCCUACGGGAGGCAGCAGUGGGGAAUAUUGGACAAUGGGCGAAAGCCUGAUCCAGCAAUGCCGCGUGAGUGAUGAGGGCCUUAGGGUUGUAAAGCUCUUUUACCCGGGAUGAUAAUGACAGUACCGGGAGAAUAAGCUCCGGCUAACUCCGUG
rnacentral:rRNA from 1 species